UUUUUUUCUUAUGCAGUUAUUGCAUAUGCAGAAUCUUUUAUUGUGAAACUCAUCCUAUGGUCAUGUUUAAGACCAAUAAGACGGUUUCACCUUUCGUUGUUAAGCGACUACAGGGAACUGAAAGCAGGAGUGUGGUCCGCUUGCACCUCUUUCUAUCCUCUCUUCUUAAUAGAUUCAAAUUAAUGCAGUUUUGCCAGGAGCAUCUGAUGGAGUUAAGUUAUUUGUCCUGGGCCUACACCCUUGUUCCACUCAUUUCUAUACAAAUUCAAUUUCAGUUAGAAAAGCAGACUAGCUGUUAUUGCCCAUUUGUCAAAACAGCAACGCUAGCGUGAAUAGCCCGGUGGAGGAGGCGCUGGCUCGUAGCUUAGGACGGUUGCUUCCCUGAAGAAAAUCAGAUCAAGCAUUGUGAGUGUCUCCCACACACCCCUUUGGUUUGUAUUAAUUCUUUCAAACUGCAGUGACAACGAAAGCCUGGAAACAAUAGUCUAUUCUUCCGGUGUAGGUGUAGGUCUUUUUGUUUUUGUUUGGGGUUUUUUUUUUUUGCUAAAUGACAGUCACUUCUCCAUGCCCUGCAUGGUUAACAUAUGUGAAUCUCUCCAUAGUUAAUUCAGAACUUGUUUGUUUCUUAAUUUGUGUUUUUUUUUUUUCAAGACAAAAGGGGGAAGCUUUAAUAAUAGGAGCAAAAAUACGUUACACAAGCAAAAAGUUAAUUUGUUAAAAUGCGUUAAGGAAGCAUAACGGCAAACACUGAUCAAUGCAGCAAGCUCGCGGUGUGGGUGGACAAAGCAAAGGCUAGCUGCAGAAACAGAAAGUUUGAAGACGAGACCGAAGCAAAGUAAGAGAAUUGGUUGCACAGAGGUUUGGGACCAGGGUGUUCCUCAGCUCCGGGGCACAAGCACUUAAGUUUCGCUCACCUAUGGAGAGCAGCUUUGCAAGAGUGUGGGAGAGACAAAGUGUUUAAGAGGAGGUGUAGGGCGACUGGAGGUUGCUUUUUUUUCUUCUUCUUUAUCUUCCUCUUUUUCUUCUUCUUGGAUCGAGUGCAAAUAAAGAUGCUGGAAGCACCCAGACAACUGUUUGUCAGCAGUUUUGGCUUUCUGGCAGCAUCAGAUGAAGAAAGACUUGAUAGAGAAAAAGGAAGGUGAAUACAUGAAAGUGGGAUACUGAAGAGUGAAACAUCAGCAGUGGUUUUGAUUCACCUAUUGAUCUUGGCAAACUGACGCUCCCUCUCAUCCUUGACAGUCUUUCUCUCCUCCCAACUGAAAUCUAUUUUUUGCUCCCAUCAGCAGAAAGGAAGGAAAACAUGGCUUUGGCUUGAUGAUGAGUCAACUCAACCCCGGGUCACAUGGUCUACUUUGUUGAUAUGAGGCUGAAUAAAGCAUGAGGCUGAUCAAGAACAGAGUAAGUUUGCUAACCUUUAAAGUUAUCUUUUAC
ensembl:lncRNA